GUGUCAGCCGCCGCGGUAAUACGAGAGGUGCAAACGUUAUUCGGAUUUACUGGGCGUAAAGGGUGUGUAGGCGGCAUGUUGUGUCUGUUGUUAAAGACUCCGGCUUACCCGGAGAAGUGCAGCGGAAACUAACGUGCUAGAGGAUGGAAGAGAGGAGUGGAAUUCCCGGAGUAGCGGUAAAAUGCGUAGAUCUCGGGAGGAACACCAAUGGCGAAGGCAGCUCCUUGGUCCAUACCUGACGCUGAGACACGAAAGCGUGGGGAGCAAACAGGAUUAGAUACCCUGGUAGUCCACGCUGUAAACGAUAAUCACUAGACGUCAGCUGAGCGUAGCUUAGUUGGUGUCGAAGCUAACGCGUUAAGUGAUUCGCCUGGGGAGUACGGUCGCAAGACUAAA
rnacentral:rRNA from 1 species